rnacentral:rRNA from 1 species
AGGAAGGUGGGGAUGACGUCAAAUCAUCAUGCCCCUUAUGAUUUGGGCUACACACGUGCUACAAUGGACAAUACAAAGGGCAGCGAAACCGCGAGGUCAAGCAAAUCCCAUAAAGUUGUUCUCAGUUCGGAUUGUAGUCUGCAACUCGACUACAUGAAGCUGGAAUCGCUAGUAAUCGUAGAUCAGCAUGCUACGGUGAAUACGUUCCCGGGUCUUGUACACACCGCCCGUCACACCACGAGAGUUUGUAACACCCGAAGCCGGUGGAGUAACCAUUUUGGAGCUAGCCGUCGAAGGUGGGACAAAUGAUUGGGGUGAAGUCGUAACAAGGUAGCCGUAUCGGAAGGUGCGGCUGGAUCACCUCCUUUCUAA